rnacentral:rRNA from 1 species
AAGUCGAACGCGACCUUCGGGUCGAGUGGCGGACGGGUGAGGAACGCGUGGGAACCUGCCCUGGAGUGGGGAAUAACCGAGGGAAACUUCGGCUAAUACCGCAUACGCCCUGAGGGGGAAAGGCUUCGGCCGCUCUGGGAGGGGCCCGCGCCCGAUUAGCUUGUUGGUGGGGUAACGGCCCACCAAGGCUUCUAUCGGUAGCUGGUCUGAGAGGAUGAUCAGCCACACUGGGACUGAGACACGGCCCACACUCCUACGGGAGGCAGCAGUGGGGAAUAUUGGACAAUGGGGGCAACCCUGAUCCAGCCAUGCCGCGUGGGUGAUGAAGGCCUUAGGGUUGUAAAGCCCUUUCGCCCGUGACGAUGAUGACGGUAACGGGAGAAGAAGCCCCGGCUAACUCCGUGCCAGCAGCCGCGGUAAGACGGAGGGGGCUAGCGUUGUUCGGAAUUACUGGGCGUAAAGCGC